GAUGAACGCUAGCGGCAGGCUUAACACAUGCAAGUCGAGGGGUAGUGGUAGCAAUACCAUGAGACCGGCAAACGGGUGCGGAACACGUACACAAUCUACCUUUAUCUGGGGCAUAGCCCGAAGAAAUUCGGAUUAAUACCCCACUAAAAUAAACAAAGUAGGCAUCACUUAAUUAUUAAAUCUCCGGAGGAUAGAGAUGAGUGUGCGUCCCAUUAGCUAGUUGGUAGGGUAACGGCCACCAAGGCGACGAUGGGUAGCUGGUGUGAGAGCACGACCAGCCA
rnacentral:rRNA from 1 species